GAUGCUUGGAAGGCCGUGCAGUGGUAAGAGUGGGCUUUCCGUGGAUGACCUGCCUGCUACCAGGCAUUUGUGAUGCUCUGCCGAGUUCUACCCAGUACUAAAGCAAU
rnacentral:lncRNA from 1 species